UCGGGGAGACAAGAAAACUGCUUGUCUUCCAGGACAACAGCUGGCACAGGCCACUGAAGAUACCCACCAAGUACCCUCUACUCCUAACAACAAAACAUACCCCAGGCCAGGGAGAGGGAUCAGCAGGUAAAGGUGCUUGACACCAAGCCCCAGGUCCGAUGUGGAGCAAAGAGAGAGCCAGCUCCUAAAAGCUGUCCUCUGAACUCCACACAUGUGCUGUGGCACACACGCUCUCCCCUGUCCCUAUAAAACAACUGCAAUUUUAUAUAGAAAUGCAAAUUUUUAAAGAAGAAUCCCAUGAAAACUUGGGCGAGACAUGACAUCUGAAAGGCUCAGCCUAGUCAAGGGGCUAGUCUGGACGUCCGUGUGUCUCUGACUGCAGCAUUCAGCAGCUAUUAUUAUCCUAUAACAAGCAUGGGGCUCCAGGCAGGAAGAAGAUAGUGUCUUCAGAGGUUUGCCACCGCUUGCCUUUGAGGGAGAAUAGCUAUGUUCCCAGAGGGCAGGCUAGCAAUGUGAAGCCAGAGGGGCCUGGGUUCUCGCUCUCUGCACACCUCUGCAAAGCUGGACGGGCUUCCACGAGCUCCUUCUCUGCUCUCUGCCUCAUUUCCCUCCUAGAACACGGAAGACGCUCCACAAGCAGGUUCUCUCCACUUGUCUCUGGGACUCUGGCUCUUUCCCCACCCCUGAAUGGUCACGAGAACUCCUGCUUUUCAGGAUCCACACCAAUCAUGACCAGAUAAUGCACAUGUGUUAUUCCUGGCUUAUACGUCAUCCAGUGUUGUCUCCUUAAUUCUUGUGCAUACAGGGUCCCAUGUGGAACUCUCUAGAUCUAUCUGCAGCACCUUUAUACCUUCCUGUAGAAUUGGUGGGGGACCUUAAGCUGGAGGAUGGAUGGGAGGAGGAGAACAUAUAAUCUGAGGUUUUGUAAAAUAUGAUAAGCCAGGUGUUUACCCCUAGAACCUGAACACUGGGCUGAGGAAAGGGGAAGGGAGUUCAAGGUCAGACCGGGCUAUGUCACAAGACCCUGUCUCAAACAACAGCCAAAAGAAUCUAUGAUAGAGGUAGAGCUGACUAUCUACUUUUUAUUGGCAAGGAGUCUUGAGAUUGUUGCGCAGUCUCCCCCAUUUCUUCCUCCUUUCCUCUGUCCUUCUCUUUUUUUCCUUGGUUUUGAAACAGCGUCUCAAUCUGUAGUCUAGACUAGCACAGGAACUUAGGCCGGGCUGUGUGAUUUUGUCUGGCAGAGACUCUUUAAUAGCCAAGUAUGACCUUGAACUCUUGAGCUCUUUCUUGCCUCUGUCUUCCACAUCCACCUCAACUGGUCAUCACUUCCACUGGCUAAUCCGUCUUUGGACCUGUGUUCCCUCCCCAUUUUGCAUGCUUCUUGUCUUCCUUUCUUUUCCCUCCCCCAUCCCUUCCUUCCUUCUUCCUGUGUGUAUCUCAUUAUGUAGCCCAGGCUGGCCUCAAGCUUGAGCUGUUCCAGCCGCUAUCUCCGAAGUGCUAGGAUUUCACCAUGCAGCACCAGAGCAAGUGAGAACUGUGUUUUAAUAUGAAGAUUUGGUGGUGGCAUUAACAGGGCAUCAGAGCCGCUGGAGGGUGUUGGCUUUCAUUGGCAGACCACGUCUAGAUGUUUGGCAUCCCUGCUUAGAUCUGAUGCUGAAAGAAUAAGGAAAUGAUUACCCACCCCCCUAUACCAGAGAGGCUGUUGAUUGCUCCUUCUGAGGCCUGAGUUCUGCCCUCUUUCUUGUGUCCUUCUCAUCCUCUCUGAAUUCCAGUUCUUUAUCUGUGAGGCAGAGGUCCGCACAUGCCCUGCCUCCUUCCUUGGGUUGUGCUCCAGCCACUAGGACACUGGGCACUUGCACCUGUUUGUGAAGUGAGCCACAUGAGUGCAGGUGACCAGGCCACACCAGACCACAGCUAAACUGGCGUGACUUCAGGAAAUGGUAUCACUUCACUAAAGCUUCUACUUUUCUUCUGGAAGAGGAGAUAAUCCUGCCCCCUCCAAACAAGCAGACAUUCGGGAGCAGACAUGAGAGCUGUCUUAGAAAGUACUGAGAGAAGCUCUUGCAGGGUUCCCGGAACAGCGUGUCCACUCAGAACCUGGCGCUGGCACAGACACACAUCCUUUUCUGGAGAGCAUAGCCCCGAGGUAGGAGGAACUCAGGGUGACUCAGCUUCACGGGUGACCAAGAGCCUGUGAAGUAAAACAGACCAGCGCUCCGGCAAGGCUGCCUUCAGAUCCCAGGGAGGAAGGGGCGGCACGAGAACUCACUGCUCAGGCUGGUAAUACCUACCAAAUGUUUGCCCUUCUGCUGAGACCUUAGCACAGCGGGCAAGGAGGAUAGACAUUUCACCCAGGGUUGGUAGCCAGCUGAGCUGGGAUUUGAGCAGAGGCCUCUGACUUAGAUGCCCUUGUUCUUCCCACACGUCAGGAAAGAAAUGUCCUUUCCCCACUUCCCGUGACACUGCAGAGUUCCCUCUGUGUGAUUAAAACAAAACAAAACCUGACCCAUUGAUUCUUUUUUGUUUACUUUUGAGAGUUUGGAACAGAUAACACACCCAUGUCCUUUUACCGUCUGCACUCAGGUGGAAUGUUCCUCUCCUCCCAUCCUUGGUUUGGGACUGGCUCAUAGACAGGGGAUGUACAGGGAUGGGCAGGGGCUAGGGGUACAGGAUGUGCAGAAAUGUGCAUGGUGCUGGGGCACAAGAGUAGACAGACGGCACUAGUCUACUUGCACGGCAACAGAUUGGCUGCUAGCAGACUCGCUUCCGUGGAUCUGUCCAGUACCAAAGUCAGAGCCACCAUCUACCCUGGUUUGGGGGUCAAGGGUUGGGAACACCACUGUUAGGGAACAUUCAGAGGAGAUGUGGUUCGGCAGGAAGCACAGGGCCAUGCCAAACAGGAAAGAGGAGGGCGAGCCUGUUAGGCACCGAAACGUCACCAGGAUGCAUGCCAAAGCUGGGCGGGCUGAAAUACUGGGGCAGAGCUGCUGGGCACAUGACUCUGUUGAAAGCCUCCCAGGGAAUGACUUCUAAUCCCUGCCUUAGUGAAGGAUUUGAGGAAGGCUCCAGCCUGCCGACUGCUGGGCUGGGCUAUGGGGGGAAUCCUGUGCUGGCACACAGCCACAAGGACACUUCUCAGGGAAAGCCUUUGGCCCAAUAAGUCUGUUUUCUCUUUUCUUUGGAAACUGGAAUUUGGAAUCUGCUCAGGGGGAGAAAUGUAACCUACAAACAAAUAGCCUUGGCCAUCUGUGCCUCCCUUGGAGCCAGGUCCAGAACAGGGAGAGCUCAGCCGUUCUGGACUCUCUAGCGGCAGGCCAACCCCUUCCAGUCAGUCUCUGGCUUCCCUAAAAUAAUAUCUCCUCUCCAUACCUUUCCCCCAGUGAUGCUCUUGCCCCAAGUCUUUGCAUAGUAAAUGCCCAACAAAUGUUGCUUAAUAUCUUUAUUAAUUUCCUCGGUUCUGUCAUACCCUUCACAGCAGAUAUGAUUUGUCUCAUGCAUUGCAGUUAUCGCGUGACAAGUCUGUGGGCUUCUUGAGGGCAGGGAUUGUGUGUUCAUUCUCCAGUGUCUUCAAGCACAUGUUUAUCCAGAGGAAAUUCCAUGGGUGGCAAUCUGGUCAUUCAAGUUGGUGAUGAAAUGCACACACUUACGUCUAGCGUUCCUAAAGCAGUUUGGAGUCACUGUAGCCUGAAGAGUUAGAGACGAGGGCAGGACACAGAAGAUCUUGGCUUACUUCUGUUUCAACCCUCUGCUAGUUUUUUGACCUUGGAAAGAUUAAUCUUUUUUGAACUUUAAACACCUACUAUCCAAAAUGCAGAUAAUGGUCUUGUUUGUCUGUUUCACAGGUCUGCUAAGGGCAUCAGUGAGCAUGCACAGAGGGGGUGCCGAGUUGGCAUCUGUCUUACCUGUGUGCCCACUGCCAUUAUCCCCACUGUGAUUUAAAGAGAAAUGUCCCUCAUUGGCUCCCACAUUGGAGUGCUUGGUUUCCAGCUGGUGGUGCUGUUUGGAAAGAUCAUGGAGCCUUGAGGAGGCGGAGUCUUGUUGGAGUCACAAGGGUGAGCCUGGAGGGUGGAGUCCUGUCUGUGCUCUGGAUUCUGACUGUAGAUCAUGUGACUAUCUGCCCUGUGUUCCUGCUGCCAUGCCUUCCCUGCUGUGAUGGACUGAAUCCCUUUUCUACUGUGAGCCAGAAGACACUCUUCAUCCUUAAGUAGCUGCUGCCACAGCAAUGUGAAAAGUAAAUCUACAACUGUUACACUUGUCAGAACAUGAGCUGUGGGUGCCGUAGUGGGUGGACAGGUCAGCCCGACUUUUUUUUCCUGCUUCCUGUGAUCCAAAUGUGGUGUGGGACAAUUCUGUAUUCUGUCAAUUAUGUUUUAAAUAAACUCUGAUUGGCCAGUAGCCAGGCAGGAAGUAUAGGCAGGACAAUGAGAACAAGAAUAUUCUGGGAAGAAGAAAGUUUUUCCCGCAGUCCUGUCUAGACACCUAAGAAGGUGUCUAGUCAGUACCCCGCUGAAAAAGGUACUGAGCCAUGUGGCUAAUAUAGAUAAGAAUAAUGGGUUAAUAUAAGUUACAAGAGUUAAUAAGAAGCCUGAGCUAAUGGGCCAAUCAGUUUAUAACUUA